rnacentral:rRNA from 1 species
UACAGAGGGGGCAAGCGUUUGUUCGGAAUUACUGGGCGUAAAGGGUGCGCAGGCGGUCCUGCAAGUCAGGCGUGAAAUCCCCGGGCUUAACCUGGGAAUGGCACUUGAAACUACGGGACUGGAGUAUGGCAGAGGGAGGUGGAAUUCCACGUGUAGCGGUGAAAUGCGUAGAGAUGUGGAGGAACACCGAUGGCGAAGGCAGCCUCCUGGGCCAAUACUGACGCUCAUGCACGAAAGCGUGGGGAGCAACAGG